GCUUCUGAAGUGCAUGACUUUUAUUGUUAUUUCAGAACAAAUAGGAGUUGACAUUAUGAAUAAUUUACACAGAGACAGAGAAGUCAUAGAGCGAGCAAGAGAAAGAACAAGGGGAACCGACAAGAACCUGUCAAAAAGCUCAAGGAUUUUAACAGGAAUGAUGAGAAGGAUAAUCCAGAACAGGAUAAUAAUGGCUGUCAUUUGCCUUGCGAUACUGGGAGUUAUUGGACUUAUCAUAUACUAUGCUGUCAAAUAAUGUCAGUCAGUCAUAUUCACCUGUUAUAAUCACAUCUUUGCCAAUUAAUUUGAUGUAUAGUAAAUUGACUGAGUUUGGUCACAAACAACAACUGAUAUUGCAAGAAUGAAGAAACCAAGUUGAUUCCAUUACAUUCUACUCUAACUAUGUUAUUAUGACGGGUUGCUCCAGAAAUAUCCUGGCAGGGCCUUUUCUUGGAGGGUUAAACCAGGGUUGUAGCUAAGAUAAUAGUCUCCCGGCUAAGAUUUUCAUUGAGCCAGUCACCGUUUUUCAUGAGAGACCUGAAACAAAAUUUUUGUCCCCAAUCUUUUGCAACAUCUUGAAUGUGGGGCUACCAAGCUUUGUGUUUACAAGAUGGCAGAGGCAGUACACAGAAAGAGAACAUGCUAAACAAGCGCUCAAAACAAGAUUUUAUUUCAAUUGCUUUACCCAUCGUAGUGGCACAGAUACUCAAGGUAGUCAGGAAUUCAUUCAACACUUUUCAUUUAGACGCUUCAAUAUGGUUCAGAUAUCCAAUGAUUGUACGUAUGUAACCUAAAAACCAUUUGUUGUCCUGUACCGAGUGAUCGCCCACCAAAAUCUAGCUGGCAAUCACCUCUUUCUCAGCCGGCGAAUUUCGCUGGCAGCCAGCGCUUAGCUAUGACCCUGGUUAAACUCCCAUCCUACCCCUGUCAAAAUACUUUAGGAAAUAUCCACACCCCUCUCAGGGAAUCUUUGGAGUGUUAAAACUCCCAUUGCACCCCUCUCAAGAUUCCCAUUACCCAUCUCUUCCUUGGAGAUUCCAAUAACCAUUUUGGAGCGGGUAUGGAUAUUUCCUUGAAAUGUGCAAUUCAGUAGAUAUUUCCUAUAGCUCAGUUGCCCUAAACAUGUGAUAAGCCAAAGAUGGGAGUUAUGUUUUACCAAAAUUCACAUCUUGUGCAUAAAUUGUUCAAUUGAAUAGAACUUAAUGUUUUGAACAAACUAGCAUAAUAUUAACAGAAUUAUCAUUAAUUACUAUAUUACACAGCUUUGGCGAGAUCUCACAAACAGGAAGGCAUGAAAAUAUUGAUAGAAAAUAAUUCCACUUGUCUCCCCACUAGUUGUCAGAAAAUUUCUGACAGGUAACAUACAAGGGCAAACAUCUGUGUAUAUUUAAUAUACACAGAUGUUUGUCCUGGUAUGUCACCUGUUUCCUACAAUUCACAAGUUUGAGAGUGACUUCAUAGAACAGAUAAUGUUCAUGAACAAAACCUGAGGGUAUUUCCCGGCUUUUUGCAAUAAUAUGCAUAAGUUCAAGCAAUCUUUAAUAUCUGCACUAUUUGGUGUCAAAAUUAUUUUAAAUAUCGUGUAACUUUGAUCUGAGAAUUAUGCCAAGUCUACAUAUCAAUUAUUCCAUGAUCGUGUGUUGGAUAUGAGAUGAUAGAUAGCCAAUGAGGUGCAUAGCACUGAGUUAGCUGUAAUCAUCUCAUAUCCAACAAGCGCAAGUGGAAUAAUUGUUUUAUUAAAAACGCCUCCAAAUUACAGAAAACUAGACUAAAAUAACGCUAAAAACGGCAGAAAAAUUGCACGUAGGCUUACUAUGUUUGCAGAGCAUGGUGUAAUGGCUCAUAACCCAUGAUGGCUAAGCCAAUGAAAACUCUCAAAUUACAUUAUCUAAUGAUCCGGUUUUUAACAAAUAUUAUUAUCCAACUCCAGUCAGUCAGGUUCAAAUAAUGAAAUUUAUUUAGUGGAAUUAUAUAUUAGAUUUAUAUGUAGGAUAAGCAAGUUAUUUAUGCUUGCUUUGGUCUUGAUUCCCUGAAAGUUUUGUUGUUUCACUGGCUAACUUAGGCUUAGUUACCAUUACCCUCCUACGCAGAACUCCUUCAUGACUUCACAGGAGGCUAGGUUACUAAGUGCUGUUCAUUCUUGUCACCAGAGGCUGCCAUCUUUUUUGGUCAGCAUCAAAAAUCGCGACCUCUGGGUGCUGGGUGGGUCUAACAAUCUUGUUCCAGAAGCUCCAACAAGGAACCAUCCACACCACGCCGGAGGAAUUUGAAAACGCUUUAUUUCUACUGUUAGGCCUACCGUCCACACUAGUCCAUCAGGAAAACGGACCUUUUCGAAAACGCUCUUUAAACCGGAAGGAUUUGAAAAAACGCCCGCUUUGCGUUUUAGUGUGGACGGUAAACA